AUGUAGGGCAAUCUGUCUUUAAGAAGGGAUAAAUCACUCUUGAAUAAAAUGCUCCUAGGUCAUUUUCCCUUCAACUCAAGUGUCUUGU
rnacentral:pre_miRNA from 1 species